GCCUGGCCCUAAAUCUUGAUGCUUUAACCCUACUCAAGCAUCCGCCCGAGAACUACGAGCACAAACGCUUAAAACUCUAAGGACUUGGCGGUGUCCCAAACCCACCUAGAGGAGCCUGUUCUGUAAUCGAUGAUCCACGAUAAUACCUGACCAUUCCUUGCCAAAACAGCCUAUAUACCGCCGUCGCCAGCUCACCUCCACUGAAAGCCCAGCAGUGAGCGCAAUAGUCUAACCCACUAGUAAGACAGGUCAAGGUCUAGCCUAUGGAAUGGAAGCAAUGGGCUACAUUUUCUGGAAUAGAACAUGACGGCAAAGGGGCAUGAAACUGCCCUUUGAAGGAGGAUUUAGCAGUAAAGUGGGACAAUUGAGCCCUCUUAAAGCCGGCUCUGGGAC
rnacentral:rRNA from 1 species